rnacentral:rRNA from 1 species
GACGAACGCUGGCGGCGUGCUUAACACAUGCAAGUCGAACGGAAAGUCCCUGCUUUUUUGGGCUCCUCUAGUUGCGAACGGGUGAGUUACCCUUGAGUUACCUGUCCUUGACUUUGGGAUAACUUCAUGAAACUUGGUCUAAUACCGCAUAGGAUCUCCUGCUGUUUGGUGGGGGUUCGAAAGUUUCGGUGGUUGGGGAUGUACUCGCGGCCCAUCAGCUUGUUGGGGGGGUAGUCGCUUACCAAGGCUUUGACGGGUAGCCGGGCUGAGCGGGUGACCGGACCAGCUGGACUGGAAAUACGACACGGACUAGACUGGGACGCAGCAGAGGGGAAGAUUGCACAAUGGGCGGGAGGCUGAUGCAGCAACGCAGCGUGGGGGAUGAGGGCAUUCGGGUUGUGAACCGAUUUCGCCUGUGACGAAGCGUGAGUGACGGUAAUGGGUAAAGAAGCACCGGCUAACUACGUG